rnacentral:rRNA from 1 species
UACGAAGGGGGCUAGCGUUGCUCGGAAUUACUGGGCGUAAAGGGCGCGUAGGCGGACAUUUAAGUUGGGGGUGAAAGCCCGGGGCUCAACCUCGGAAUUGCCUUCAAUACUGGGUGUCUUGAGUACGGGAGAGGUGUGUGGAACUCCGAGUGUAGAGGUGAAAUUCGUAGAUAUUCGGAAGAACACCAGUGGCGAAGGCGACACACUGGCCCGUUACUGACGCUGAGGCGCGAAAGCGUGGGGAGCAAACAGG